UGUAAAGGAUAAUAAUGAUGAUAACGAUGAUGGUGAUGAUGAUGACAAUAAUAAUAAUCAUCAUCACCAUCAUCAUCAUCAUCAUCAUCACCA
rnacentral:pre_miRNA from 1 species